rnacentral:rRNA from 1 species
UACGUAGGGGGCAAGCGUUGUCCGGAUUUAUUGGGCGUAAAGAGCUCGUAGGCGGCUUGUCGCGUCGACUGUGAAAACCCGCGGCUUAACUGUGGGACUGCAGUCGAUACGGGCUAGCUAGAGUUCGGUAGGGGAGACUGGAAUUCCUGGUGUAGCGGUGAAAUGCGCAGAUAUCAGGAGGAACACCGGUGGCGAAGGCGGGUCUCUGGGCCGAUACUGACGCUGAGGAGCGAAAGCGUGGGGAGCGAACAGG